AUGAGGUAUAAAAAUUUGUAUUUAUAUUACAAUGAAAGACAGAUACAACACAAUACCUUCAGUGGGAGCCGCAGGCAGCAGCAAGCACCAGGAACGUGUGUACAAAUGAAUUUUUACAAUAUAAUACAUCUUGCCACCUACAAAGCGUUCCUUUUCAGGUACAUAUUCAAAAUAUCUCUGGCACAGAACCUGCCCAGGCACCUGAAGAAAUCCCCAGUCAAGUGAUCACCUUCCCCUUCCUCCCACUCUACUCAGCCCUUCUGGUGUGGCUCCUUGACCAUGACCAUGACCCCUCUGUCCACAGAAGCCUCAAUGAUGACUUCUUGGGGCCUCCUUUAUAUCUAUUAGAUGGUACAGCUUUAGAGGAUGAAGGAAUACAGAUCCAGAACCCUUCAAAUAGGUGGGGGGUGGGGGUGGGGUGAACAAGGGUGUCUUUUAGAGAAAGCUAAAUCACUCACCAAACUAGUUAAAUGGGGUUCUCUUGAGUUUCUGUUCCCAGACCUCUUGUCUCCAUUGGCAUUUUUUUAGGCACCUGACUGGGUGAUUUUCUUUAUCUCUCACAUAGAAACUCAAGAUUUUGGAGUUAGAAGAGCCCUCAGAGUUCAUCUAAUCCACCCUGGAUAGGGCCACACCAGCCACCAACUUUCCUUGACCCUGGACGUGCUCCCUUCUUAUGAAGGGUGGCAAGAAUCCCAGAGAGGAGAAUAAUGUAACUAACUAGAAUCUUUACUGGCCAUGAACUUCCUUCCAAAAGGGACCACUUUUAAACCACAAAUGUGAGACAUUGUUCUAUGUGAAACUCACUUUCUUCUUUCCCAUACUGCUCUGACAAGAUGGAAACGGGUAAGUCCUACAUUAUCACACUUAACAGACACCAAAAUCCACCUUGGCAAAAGGUUCCCUAAAGAUGACUGUCUCUGAGGCCCUUCCUUCAUUGAUGUUUGAAAUCUAGAUGGCUGUGCAGUAGCAAUUGCUCUCUGGAUUGCAGCUUGGGUGACUGGAGGAAUUUCUGUUUUAUUCAGAGAAAAUAUUUUGGAAGAUGAUAGUAGGUGGUGAUUAAGGAAACCAGAAAAUGGGGCACUCUGAGUAAGCACAGACCAUGCUGAGGGCAGUGAGACUUGCCCUAGGGCCCUGUCUGCUCAGUCUCCUUGUUCACUGUGAGCCCAGGCCUCCCCUUUCAAGGUGGGUAAGUGAGGUGAGCAUGGGAGAGUCUUUAUCCCUCUGAGUCGUUACACAUACACAUGGCUUUGUAUUUUGGUUCAUUGUUUAAGAUAAAUGGGUUUGGUGAAAACUGAUCAGAAAGAAAAAAAAAUUUAAUGCAGUCAUGAUUCAUGAUCAAAUCUGAAAAUUCUGUAUCCUGAGCACCUGUAUAUUUCACUGAAGUAAGCUUAUAGCCAUGCCACAUAAAAUUGUUCAGAGAAGUUGGGGCUAUACUGACAUUCUCCUGUCCACCAUGUGUAUUCCUAGUAUAUGUGCAAAUGGCAACUUUAAAAGUCCACUCGUUUCCAGAGUGUUAAGUGAUGGUUUGGACUGUGUAACCCCAAGGCCUUAUAGCCAAGAGGGUGUCCUCUCCUGGACUGGUUAACCCAGCUAGUGAUAGACCCUAUGGUAUGAAAGUGUCCUGGUGGAAUUAAACUGCUUUAUUGGAAGCCAAGCUACCCUUCCCACAGGCAACACCUGCUUCUUAGUAUCAGUUGGCAGAAAAAGCCAAAGGGUCAUAGGGUUUUCAAACUGGGAGGGACUCUGAAGGUCAUGAAGUCCUCAGUCUUACAGAUGAGACAGUUAAAUCCUAGAAGCAGAAUGAGUUUCCUAAAGUCACACAAAUAAUAUGUGGUGGGAAACACUUGUAAAUAUGGAGAAGGGAAAAAGGAGAGGAUGUGUGACCAGUUUACAUUCAAUUUCCAAAUGCCAGGCUGAUGUAUUCCUUUACAAUUCAAAUUAUUCCUAGAAAGUCCCAAGCCCAACAAGACAAGGAAAAGUUAGUCCUGAAUUGUUUGUCUACUGGAUCCACCCCCCCCCCAAUACUACUCCUAAGCAAAGAUGUUAGAAUUUCAAAAAGCAAAGAAAAUGGUGGAGUCCCAGUUGCCAAACUAUUGGGUGGGGUUGCCUAAAUUAAUAAGCAACUUCCAAAGAGAGAAUGCCACACAUUGCUGUGCCCUGCUGGCUCCAGGUUGGGUUGUGGGUUGAGUAGCUUUGCAAUUCUCUCUCUUUGGGAACCAGCUGGGCGUUAAGAAAGCAAUGAGUAGCAGUAGGAGGAGAGACACCCACACACCUGUCUUCUGGGCUUGGCAGUAUUUGUGAAAGUACUAAUAAAACUGAGACAAUUAGAUUUGCCA
ensembl:lncRNA